rnacentral:rRNA from 1 species
GAUGAACGCUAGCGGGAGGCUUAACACAUGCAAGUCGAGGGGCAGCAUAGGGUAGCAAUACUCUGAUGGCGACCGGCAAACGGGUGAGUAACGCGUAUGCAACCUACCCUGUACAGGGGGAUAACCCGGAGAAAUUCGGACUAAUAUCCCGUAAUAAUAUCCGGAGGCAUCUUUGGAUAUUUAAAGUUCCGACGGUACGGGAUGGGCAUGCGUAACAUUAGCUGGUUGGUAAGGUAACGGCUUACCAAGGCUAUGAUGUUUAGGGGUCCUGAGAGGGUGGUCCCCCACACUGGUACUGAGACACGGACCAGACUCCUACGGGAGGCAGCAGUGAGGAAUAUUGGUCAAUGGGCGCAAGCCUGAACCAGCCAUCCCGCGUGCAGGAAGACGGCCCUAUGGGUUGUAAACUGCUUUUCCAGGGAGAGAAACUUACGCACGUGUUGCGUGACUGACGGUACCCUGGGAAUAAGCAUCGGCUAACUCCGUGCCAGCAGCCGCGGUAAUACGUCUA